rnacentral:rRNA from 1 species
UACAGAGGUCCCGAGCGUUGUUCGGAUUCACUGGGCGUAAAGGGUGCGUAGGCGGCUUUGAAAGUCUGAUGUGAAAUCUCCAGGCCCAACCUGGAAAUGGCAUUAGAAACUACAGGGCUGGAGGCUUGGAGGGGGAACUGGAAUUCUCGGUGUAGCAGUGAAAUGCGUAGAGAUCGAGAGGAACACCAGUGGCGAAGGCGAGUUCCUGGACAAGACCUGACGCUGAGGCACGAAAGCCAGGGGAGCAAACAGG